AGGCUAUGGAAAUUCAUGUUUCCAAUUUUGUAUUUAUUUUUCUUAUGAUACAGUAUACUGUAAAUUUGAAUAAUAUUUGUGUGCUUAUAGUGAGCUUAUGUUUAGGAGAGUUUGUUGCGAGGCAGCAUAUAUUUUGAUUUUUCAAAAUAUUACUGUAUAUUGGUAUGUUAUACUUAAUAUUAGAAUGUUAGGGUUUGGAAUCCAAGUGAGAAUAUAUACAUUUUAAGACCUAACCAGGAACGACUGCGAAAAAUGCAGCACAAGGUCCUCUGGUAGGAAUCAAACCUACGGCCCUGUGAUUCCGGUGCAGCGCUCUAACCAACUGAGCUACAGAGGCCAGCCGUUAAGCUGUAACCGUAAGUUCAUGUAUAUAUAGGUAAUCAGGUGUGCGGGUUGUGAUAAGGUGGACUUCAUGACUUAGAUUCUGCACUUCACUUGGUGGAAUUAAUAUUAGAAUGAAUCCAAGUGAGAAUAUAUACAUUUUAAGACCUAACCAGGAACAACUGCAAAAAAUGCAGCACAAGGUCCUCUGGUAGGAAUCAAACCUAUGGCCCUGCGAUUCCGGUGCAGCGCUCUGAGCUACAGAGGCCAGCUGUUAAGCUGUAACCGUAAGUUCAUGUAUAUAUAGGUAAUCGGGUGUGCGAGUUGUGAUAAGGUGGACUUCAUCAUGAUUCUAAUAUUAAUUCCACCAAGUGAAGUGCAGAAUCUAAGUCAUGUUAUACUUAAUGCUUUUGGAAGAGUUAUAGGGGUCGGGUGUGAUAUACUUUUUCAGGUAUUUUGUGUCUGAUGUAUGUAAGAGCUUUAUUAUUGGGUUUCUUGGUGAGACCUUAUAUCUUAUGUGUCCUAUAACCCCCUGUAAUUGCGGAUUAUUGCAUACAUUCUAAUUGGGUUUUUUUUGUAGGAGUCUGAAGAUGCAAAUGAUACAAUUUCAAACUUAUCACAAGCCAUAUUGUGGUCGUUGGCAUCGAACUUGCUAGAAUACGACUAGAAACUGUCAAUCAUACGUUAUCGAGGGAAAGGAUGAAAGUUCCAUAACAAGCAACAGUUGUUUUGAUGCAAUUAUAGCCUUAUUGGCAAGUUUUUACAUCUUCAAUAUUGAGUGCUGCCACACGAAGAGCAUCUUGUCUGCUUUGCAGACUAUAGUAGCCCUCUUCAAUGACUUGUCAUGACUCAUGAGUAUUAGUACUACAGUAAUUUUACACUUUUUGAGAGUUAUGUUGACAUAUUACGAAAGUCACCGAACUGUGGAAUCGCAUCUAAAAUUCGUAUAUCGACCACUCCCACAAACGUCUACGACCGCGCCUACAUAGUUUUGCACGUUUACAAUUCUAAUUUUAAACAGCCAAUUACCAAGAACCUGAUUGGCUGUUCAAAAUUAGAAUUGUAAACAUGCAAAACUAUGUAGUCGAAUGUAGGCGUGGUCGUAGACGUUUGUGGGAGUGGUCGAUAUACGAAUUUUUGAUGCGAUUCCACAGUUCGGUGACUUUCGUAAUAUGCUAACCCAAGUUAAUGUUAUUGAUGGAAUGUGUGUAUUGUCUCACAUCUCACCGAACUGUGGUAAUGUAUUAGAAAUUAUUCGUAUUGCGUUCAUGUUAACAACCGCGCCUGCUAUUGCUAUCACAAGUUGAUUGCUCUUUAAAAUUAGAAUUGUAAACUUUCGGAGCCAUAUGGCAUAUAUGUACGAAUCUUUUGAUGGUUCCCACAUUUCGGUGAGAUCCAUAAUACUGACUACUGUGCAUGUAUAUUGUAAUUUUAGUUAUAGUAUUGUCUUUAUAAUACAGAAAUUGGAAC